GAACUCGAACCUAUGGUAAAAUGGGGGUGAGAACUAACUUCCUUAGUUCCCAGUGGGUUCGGCCGCCGACUCCGCCGAUCUCCCCACUAGGUCCAAGCGGGCAAAAGUAGAUAAUCGAUAGAUAGAUAGAUAAGGAAAGCGGUAAUGACAGAAGUAAAGCUACUCUACUAUGCCCAAUCAUAAAUAUAUGAAUGCAUGUACAAUGGAAUAGGUAAGCAAUUAACCCAUUAUCAUGUCCAAAGGUAAAGCUAUUUACUCGUUCAUCAAUCCCAUUUACUUGUUUCUUAAUCUCGUGGCUUCCCUGAAGGAGCCUACUGCUCACUAGCCAUCUCGAAGGUAGGGAGGGUCAACUCGCACUACGAACCGAGACCGUCUGCCGGGGCCUAAAAUAGGCAAUCCCUUGGGACCCAAAAUAGGCAAUCCCACGUGACCAACUCCGGAGCGCACUACUUGUGUGAGGCUUCCAUCACAAGAUUUAAAAACAGACCGUGAGCAUGAUCCAAUCCUCGUCUCGAGAAUACCCUAUCCUCUAGGGUUACCAUCAUCAUAUAGUCCAUAGGUUUCACAUACACUAUGACUCAUAUGUGUCAUUUGUUCUCUUAUACACUAUUAACUAGAUUGCCACUCGUCCAUUGUUUACUAUCGACUAGAUGCCACUCGUUCUUUGUUUAACACUAGACCAACCGUUGAGCCUAUCUCUUUCUUUGCACUAUAGGAUUCACAAUCUCGACCCAAUCCUUAUCGAUCCACUAUAUCAAGUAUCCAAUACAUGCUACGAUAUCAUCAAGGAAAGCAUAAGGAAAGGCAAUGCACAAUCAUCCUAUAAUGCAAUAAUACAAGAUGCAAGAAUCGACAUGUACUAAGACAUAGAAGGGAGCCCGAUUGCUUCGGGAUGGACACCACCCACCUCUUGGCGAUGCCGCGAUGAUAGAAGACUCGGCGUUGUGGUUCUUGCACGUCGCCCUAACUCCUCGGGGCGAAGCGAGCCCUCGAGUACCCGAUUCGGCGAUAACUCCGCACUCGCUCGUCGGAUCGGCAAACCGUCUUCGCCGACGCGUUCCGGGACCUAACAAUUAGGUUUGCGACCUAAUAGAUUAGAUCAAAACCCUAGAUUUCGAAAAUCCCCAAUUCCGUGCACUAGAAUGGCAAUGGGGAAGAAAUCCGUGGUGCGAGCUUCGAUUGCGAGCCCGAACCACCUAUUCAUCUCCUCUAGGUUCCAUUUGAACCAAUUCUAAGCAAUAAAACCCAAUCCUAAGAAAUCUACCAUGAGUGGGUUUGGAGCUUACCUCUAAGCCAAGCUCCAAGCUUGCCCUAGCUUGAAGGAGAGAGGGAAGAAGAUGAUCUUCUCCUUCUUCUUGAUCUUCUCCUUCUCUUUUCUCUUCUUUUCAUUCUUCUUCUUCUUCUUCUUCUUCUUCUUCUUUCUUCUUCUCUUUCUUUUCUUUCUAAAGAGAGAGAGGGAAAGAGUGAGAGAGUUAGAGAGCAAUGAGGGAAAGAGAGGGGUCCCCCACCUCUAUUAAAGGCCAUUUUGCAGAUAGCCCCCUCAACUUUUCAUCCUUCAAACCAGCCCUCUUUGGGCAUUUUCGCAGUGAGGGACCGGUCCCAGCUCGGGGAUACCGGUCCCCGAAGGCUACCAUCUCGGGCAGAGGGAUUUUCGCGUUCGGGAACCGGUCCUUGCCUGAGAGACUGGUUCCUGGGAGACCGUUCCUUGUCCGAGAGACCAGUUCCCGAAAGUUGGAUUCUCGAGACUUAGCCAAAUUUUUGGCCAUUCUCGCCGGGCUGACGUUCGGGAACUGGUCCCUGCCUGCAAGGGACCGGUCUCAUCAGAGACCCCCGCAGCCCAGCCCAAUGGAACCGGUCCCUCCCUGCCAGGGACCGGUCCCCGGGAGCAAUUCUUCUCCAGUGCAGAUUUUGCACUGGUGCUCCAGCGGACCCUUCCUUAAUGCACUUUAUGCAUUAUAAUCACCCUCGGACUUUCUAAAGCUUACGCACUCGACAACUAGUCGAUUCUAAUCGAAGUCUAAUCCUCGAGUUUCGAGAAUUCACUUCCUCACAUCCUUCCCACCUUAAAAGAGUUUCGUCCUCGAAACGAACUCAAUACUACAAUACUUAAUUAGAAUUCCAAAUUCUAAACUCAUACCUCGAUUUAACCUUCGAACAGGCGAGGAUGAUUCGCCUUCAUCUCCUCCUCGAGCUCCCAGGUGGCUUCGCGAUCAUCAUGAUUGCUCCACCGGACUCGGACAUAAGGAAUUUCCCGAUUCCUUAACUUGCGCACUUCACGAGCGGUAAUUGCCACCGGAAACUCCUCGUAGCUCAGGUCCUCCUGAAGUUCCGGCGGUUCGUAUAACAUCGCGUGCUCGGGGUCAGGAAUGUAUUUGUGUAGAUUGGAGACGUGGAAUACAUUGUGCACAUCCGCUAGCUUCGGCGGCAACGCGAGCCGAUAAGCCACCGUCCCAAUCCGCUCCAAGAUCUCAUAGGGGCCAAUAUAUCGGGGGCUCAAUUUUCCCCGAACUCCAAAUCGCCUUACACCCCUCAUAGGCGAGACCUUCAAGAAGACACGGUCGCUCACCGCAAACUCUAGAUCUCGUCGGCGCCUAUCCGCAUAGCUCUGUUGUCGAGACUGCGUCGUGAGUAAUCGUUUGCGAGCAAGGCGGACCUUUUCUUCCGCCUCCCGCAGCACAUCAGGGCCAGAUUCCGUGCGCUCGCCCACGUUACUCCAAUAAAUGGGAGAGCAGCACUUCCGCCCAUAAAGAGCUUCGAACGGUGCCAUCUCCACACUAGCGUGAUAACUGUUGUUGUAGACGAACUCGGCCAUUGGCAAAUACUUACACCAACCUCCUUUGUAGUCGAUGACACACGCUCGCAACAUAUCCUCCAGCGUCUGAAUGGUUCUUUCAGUUUGUCCGUCUGUCUAGGGAUGAAAUGCAGUACUGAAGUCAAGCCGCGUGCCAAGGGCCUCCUGUAGGCUUUCCAGAAAUGUGAAGUGAACUUGGGGUCUCUAUCCGACACAAUCGAUUUCGGCACCCCGUGUAACCUCACUACUUCAUCAAGAUAUACCUGCGCCAACUUAUCUCCCGCCCAGGUGGUGUGGAUCGGUAAAAAGUGCGCUGACUUUGUCAAGCGGUCCACAAUCACCCAGAUCGCGUCGUGUUUCCCUAUCGAGCGAGGUAAGCCAACGAUAAAAUCCAUAGAUAUAUCCUCCCAUUUCCAGACGGGAAUAGGUAGGCUUUGAAGCUUCCCCGCUGGAAACCGGCGCUCCGCCUUUACUUGCUGACAAGUCAAGCACUUUGCCACGAAGCGCCCAAUAUCGGCCUUCAUCCCUGGCCACCAAUAGAGUGCUCUCAACUCAUGAUACAUCUAGGUGCCGCCCGGGUGAUCCGCGUAUGGAGACCGGUGGGCUUCCUGCAAAAUCAGCUCGUGAAGCUCUUCAUUCUCGGGCACGCACCACCGGUUUCGAAACCGAAGCGCGCCACCGACGUCCACACUAAAAUCGCCAUUUCGUCCUUCCUCGACGUUGCGCCACACCUCUUGGAGACUCGGAUCUGCAGGUUGCAAGUUUCUGAUCCUCUCCAAUAAGGUCGGUUGAAUAACGAGCGCCAUCAGCUAAGCCGGGAUCUCGGGAGCAACCACUUCGAGGUCCAGUCGCUCCAUCUCCAGCCCUAGGGGUGUUUGCCGAGUAACAUCAAAAGCGAGGUUCUUCGCCGACUUUUUGCUAAGUGCGUCUGCAACCACAUUUGCUUUGCCGGGGUGGUAGAGAAUAUCGACAUCAUAGUCCUUUAAUAGCUCUAGCCACCGCCUCUGUCGCAUGUUCAGCUCCUUCUGGGUAAACAGAUACUUCAGACUUUUGUGGUCGGUGUAGAUCUCGCAGUGUGCACCGUACAGGUAGUGCCUCCACAACUUCAACACGAAGAUCACCGCCGCCAACUCCAAGUCAUGGAUGGGGUAAUUCUUCUCGUGGUCCUUCAGCUGACGGGAUGCAUAAGCUAUCACCCUCCCGUCUUGCAUCAGAACACACCCCAAGCCCAGAUAGGAUGCAUCGCUAUAGACCACAAAGUCCUCGCCCUGCACCGGUAAGGCGAGUAUUGGAGCCGACGUCAAUCUUUUCUUCAACUCGUUGAAGCUUUGAUCACACUCGUCGCUCCAAAUAAACUUGACGCCCUUCUGAGUUAAACUGGUAAGUGGAGUUACAAUCUUCGAAAAACCUUCCACAAACCGUCGAUAAUAGCCCGCUAAGCCCACAAAGCUUCGGACCUCCGUGACGUUCGUCGGGCGUGGCCAAUUCUCGACCGCUUCGACUUUCCUCGGGUCAACCGAAACACCGCCCUCGGAAAUCACAUGCCCCAAAAAGGCAACCUCUCGAAGCCAGAAAUCACACUUCUUCAGCUUUGCGAAUAGCUUCUCCUCCCGAAGGAUUUGAAGCACCGUCCGCAAAUGCUCCGCGUGCUCCUCGUCGUCCCGCGAAUAGACCAAGAUGUCGUCUAUGAAGACCACGACAAAUCGGUCCAAGCACGUCUUGAACACACGGUUCAUCAGAUCCAUGAAUGCGGCCGGGGCAUUAGUGAGCCCGAAAGGCAUAACCGUGUACUCAUAGUGUCCAUAACGCGUGCGAAACGCGGUUUUCUGAAUAUCCUCCGACUUAAUCUUUAACUGAUGGUAGCCGGAUUGUAGGUCUAUCUUCGAGUACACUCGUGACCCCUGUAACUGAUCAAAUAAGUCAUCGAUUCGGGGCAACGGGUACUUAUUCUUUAUCAUGACCCUAUUCAACUCUUGAUAGUCCACGCAGAGUCGAAAUGAGCCAUCCUUCUUGCGCACGAACAACACCGGGGCUCCCCACGGUGAUACGCUCGGCCUGAUGAACCCUUUGUCGAGAAGAUCUUGUAACUGAUCCCUCAGUUCUCUUAACUCUGCCGGCGCCAUGCGGUAUGGGGCCUUCGAGAUUGGCACCGUCCCGGGAAUCAAGUCUAUAACGAACUCGAUCUCCCGAUCCGGCGGCAUCCCCGGUAACCCCGUGGGAAAUACAUUUGGAAAUUCCCGCACCACCGAUAAAUCCUCUAAACUCGGAGCCACUCGGUCCACUUCCAUGACAGUCGCCAAAAAUGCUACGCAGCCGCCGUUGACCAACUUUCUAGCUCUCGUCGCCGAUAUCGUCGCGACGAAGCAAGAGCUUCGACAAGCUCGAUAAAUGAACUCCUCCUGUCCUGGCUCCCGAAUGGUGAUCAAUUUAUUCUUACAAUCAAUCGUGGCGUAAUACUUUGAGAGCCAAUCCAUGCCCAAAAUGACGUCAUACGCCUCCAGUUUCUUAAGUUCCAACAUCCGGAUGGGCAUUAUCCAGUCGCCUACUUGUACUGGGCAUGACGAGCACUCCGUAUAGGUAUUAAAUGAUGACUCGGGACCUUCGACUCGCCACUUGCCACUUGCUUCUAUGGGUAUGUCAUGCAUGCGUGCAAAUGCCCUACUAAUAAAUGAAUGCGUGGCACCCGUAUCGAACAUAGCUCUGGAGCGAACUCCAUUAAUUAGAACCAUACCUGCCACAACAUCAGGCUCCUCGGCUUGGGCAGGCUCUUCGGUAUGGGCCUGAGCGGCGAAUACCCGUCCGCUCGGCGCUGAUCGAGUCACCUCCGGCUGGCACGGCGCCAGUGCGCGUCCCGCCGAUACGGGAACAUACGAGGCCCCUCCUUGAUAAGGCGAGGGCGCUGGAGUCGAUGCAACCGACGAAGUAGACGAGGCCCUUGCCGGACAGUCACGACUGACGUGUCCCUCUUGUCCACAAUUAAAGCACCGUCCUUGUCGUUGUCUACACUGCGGUGCCCGAUGGCCUCGAUCUCCACAGAUAGGGCACCGCUGCGGCCCACGGCCCCACGACUGCGACUGCGGAUACUUCGGGGGCCUCCUCGAACUCGAUUGUCCCCCCGAACCGCCGCCCGAUCGCUUCUUCCCCUUGUCUUGGGAUCCGGCCAACAACUCACGCUCCUCUCGCACAUGGGCAUCUCUAUGCUCUGCCCAUAACGCCUUAUUGAAAACCUCGGCGAAAGUCGUGAGCUGGAACAAUUGCACCGCUCUAUAUAUCCACGGCCGAAGUCCUCGCAAGAACCACUCAGCUCGAUCCGCGUCGUCCUUAACCACGUCCGGGACGCAGUCUAUAAUGUGGGAGAACUCUUGUUCGUAAUCCGCCACCGAACGAUCCCCCUGCCUCAAUUUGCGAAACCUCUCCUUUAGCUUUCGCUUCUCGGUGUCGGGGAAGUAAUUCCCAAACAUCUCCUUCUUAAACUCCUCCCAGAGCAUUGGUGGAAGGUCAGAGGGUCGAUCCCGCUUCAACCGCUUCCACCACACCUUGGCCGCCUUGUCGAGGCAAUGGGUGGCGAAAGGCACCUUAUCUUUCUCCGGGGUGUACAGGUCCUCGAAGAGAGUCUCCAUCGAGUCAACCCAAGACUCCACCACUGACGGCUCCACUUUCCCCCCUUCAAAAGUUGGUGGUUUAAACUUCAUGAACUUCAUCAGAGCCGUCAGCGCACACUCCCGCUCCACUUCGUCGACCGUCGUCUCGAGUGUCGCCGAACCCGAAGCUGUCGGAGGCGCAUUUGUCGGCGGGGGAACCGCUGCCAUCGGAACCGCCGCUAUGCCCUCACCCUCGGCCGCUACCGGCGUGCGUGCCGAAGGUGCGGGCGGAUCGCGAUCUCCUGCCGCCGUCGCGGCCGCCACCGCUGCCGCUUGCCGCUCCACAACUUCCUGGAGCUGCUCGAACCGAGCCUCCUGGCGCUGCAUCGCGCCCAACAUUGCAGCGACCUGCUCCCGCAGCUCCUGCACCUCCUCCGAUCUUGGCUGCUCGGGCUCCGCAGAAGGCGGCACCGGAGCAGACCUACGCGCAUAACGCCUUGGGGACAUUUGCUCCUGAAAAGCAACAACUCGGUUAGUUAUCUCAAUCCGAUAACCUUGCAACGUUCGCGAAUUUAAACGACUCAAUAGUAAAAUCAGGCGGAAGCUCGCAAGUGCUCUAGUGUCGGACUCUUAGCGUUGCGUCGUCGGCCGCCGACACAACCACUACGAGCCAAGAACUAGUGUCACUUGGAUCCGUCUCUAUUCACAGCUAGAGACACAACAUCAACCUGACCCAAUCACUCAACUCCCGCCACCGCCAUGGGUUCACGUUCACUCACGUCCCUAUAACCUUAGGGUUUACCAACUUAGGGUCUCCUAGGUUAUCCUAGACUCUCUCUUUACUUGCUCUGGUGCUCUGAUACCACUUUAUCUGUCACGCCCCGCGACCGCUACCAAUUUGGUCCGGCCCCGGGCGCGUCGAACAGACGCCGAACGGACAGGACCUCCCCUGUCCGUCCAAGGCUAACCAACAGAUCAUGUAUAAGAAUUUACCUAGGAAUCAAUUCAUAAAUACACGAUCAAGAAGCACCACCAGUGCAACAAUCAAUAGCAAGAUACAAGUAUAGAAACAUAUACAAGUACAUAAGAGAGAAGAGGCUAUCCAUUACAUUCAUUUGAUUUACUACAUUUAAGUACGUCUUUUACAUUCUUCCAAAAAUAUAAGUACAAGCACUCAAACCUCUCCGUAUACAACAUCUACUCUCAAAUACAAAAAGGGUGACAGCUAAUGCAAAAGGGAGGUAGCUAAUGCGACUAGAGCGCCUUGCCCUUACCACGAUCCUCACGCUCACCGGGGACGCCCGAACUAGAACCUGUAAAGAGUGGGGUGAGAACUAACUUCCUUAGUUCCCAGUGGGUUCGGCCGCCGACUCCGCCGAUCUCCCCACUAGGUCCAAGCGGGCACAAGUAGAUAAUCGAUAGAUAGAUAGAUAAGGAAAGCGGUAAAUGACAGAAGUAAAGCUACGCUACUAUGCCCAAUCAUAAAUAUAUGAAUGCAUGUACAAUGAAAUAGAUAAACAACUAACCCAUUAUCAUGCCCAAAGGUAAAGCUAUUUACUCGUUCAUCAAUCUCAUUUACUUGUUUUUUAAUCUCGUGGCUUCCCUGAAGGAUCCAAAUUUUACUUGUUUCCUUAAUCUCGUGGCUUUCCUCGAUGUUGCGCCGCACCUUUUGCCAGACUCGGAAUUUGCAGGUUUGCAAAUUUCUGAUCCCUGCUCCAAUAAGGUCGUUUGAAUAACGAAGCGCCAUCAGCUGAGCCCGGGACCCUCGGGAAGCGACCACUUCGAAGUCCAGUAACGUCCAUCUCCAGCCCCUAGGUGUUUGCCGGGUAACAUCCAAAAGCGAGGGUUCUUCGCCGACUUUCUAGCUAAGGUCCAUCCCGACUACAUUUGCUUUAUCCGGGGUGUGAGAAUAUCGACAUCAUAAUCCUUUAAUAGCUCUAGCCACCGCCUUUGCCGCAUGUUUAGCUCCUUCUGGGUAAAUAAAUACUUCAGACUUUUGUGGUCGGUGUAGAUCUCACUGUCACCCCCCGCGACCGCCUAUUUGGUCGGUUUCGGGCAUGCCGACAGACCGCCGAACGGACAGGGUUUCCCCUGUACUGCGGGCAGAGUCUCCCCUAUACGUUCAAGGCAUAGCAAUCAAUACAAUAUGCGAAGUUCCAACCAGGAACACAUUUCAAUCAAGAUUGCAUAAUGGAAGGUAUCAAACAACAUAAACACAUCCUAUAUUAUUACAUUCAUUCAUAUUCAUGCAUUUUACACCUCAACUACCAUUCCUUUUUCAUUCAAAUGCAAUCUAAAUUAUUACAACAUUUAUAUCUUUAAUACAUCAUGUUACAUUGUGUUUUUUUCAUUUCUUUAACCCCUAAGCUAUGUCGACGGGGUACUGCUAGCUCUGGUCUCUAGGGUAGGGCGCUAUCUACGGAGAUACGCCCUUUCCUCGCGCCGCCGCGCCGCUCACGUGCGAACCUGUAAACACCCCAAAACCACGUGGGGUGAGAACCAACUCCAUGGUUCCCAGUGGGUACGGCCACCCAAGGGAAAAGCUCGACUAAUAGGUCCAAGGGAGGCAACUGCAAGUUAGUUCAAUAAACAGAUAGCUAUAUAUCUUGAUUAUGCAACGAAUAAAACCAUGCAUUGCCUCACGAAUGCAAUAAUGCAAUGCUAUAUGCAAAUCAUGCAAUAAUGCAACUAUGCAACAAACUAGUAGUUCAUUCGAUACUACUUUCAAUUCUGCUAACCAUAGCUCAUCCGUUUGAUAUCUAAGGUUUCCUUUAUCUUAGAUUCUUGUCAAUCACCGUUUUAAUCAUAAAGUUUCAUCUACCUUUACAAGGCUAACCACCCGACUCGGUCUUGAGUUAAUCGUCUGCGGAGUACCGCACUAGAACAAGGCUCGAGGCGAUGGACGUCUCACUUACACCUCAGCCCUAAAUCCUCUCGACUAGGAUACCAAAUCCAUAACUCAUAAUGCAUACUUGUUUUACAUUCAUUUAGCUAUGACCCAAUCUUACCGGUUAACCAUGUUAACCCCAAUAACUCACCACCAAAAUCCCUUAAUAACGGGGGACUCGAACCUCCCUGGGGACCGUCAUCUGGGGGGACUUUACCACGCCCAGUGGUGACCAACUCCGGAGCGCACCGCCCGAGGGGUAGCUACCUCCCUCAAGCCAAGACGUAACGUGAGUAUCGAUCCAAUCCUCAACUUGAGGAUUCAUAGCCACUCGUUACAAUGCCAAUGUCAUGAUAGGUCUCUACCUAUUUAAUCAUGCAACUCUCUAUGUCAACUUGGACCAAUGUCAAUAUGGUUAAAUUAUAUUUAACAAUCACUUUCUUGAUGUCAAUCAUGUCUCUAUUGUCACUGUCACCUUUGUUUACUAAUGUUCAAGUCCAACUCUCACAUUUACACAAUAAUAGGGUCCUAACAUACAUGAAUGACACCAGAAUAUACAUGCUCAAUCACCACGAGUGUUUGCUAGGUUCAAGAUACUAGGUUUAAUGCCACUCGAUCUAAUAUAUAUAUAGAUUGUCUAUUACGUUUCACAACAUGGCAAUAUGUCAUCAAGUAUGUUUUUCUAUUUAACAUAAUCCACAAUAUGUAAAUUCAUAAUAUAUCAUCAUGCACAUAUACCACUAGCAUCACAUGAUAUGUCAACAUACAUAUAGUCAUUAUCCAAAAUAGUCCAUACUUAGCAUCUCAUGCAUUCUUUUAGCACUUAAUUCAUUAUGCAUUACAUUUAGCAUAUUCUACAACAUGUCAUCAUACAUUCCUUUUAUGAUGUUCUUAUAAUGCUAACAUUCAUACGCCCUUUAUAUUAUGCAUUCAAAACAUUAAUCAUAUGCAUUUCUAUAGUAUGUUAACAUGCAUUCUUUUCACAUUCUUAUAUUAUGUCAAUAUGCAUCAAUAUGAAAUCUCAUUUCUCUUAGACAUAUAGGCGACCUAGUCGCUUCGGUAAGUACAACCCACCUCAAAUCGCUUUCCGAUUGCUUGUCGACACUUACAAUCGGCCGCCCGCGGCACCCGGUACCCGGUUUGGCCCGAUCCCUCGCGCGACUACCUGAACGGCCUCCAAUUCACAAUCCGAAAAUUAAAGGUCUUCGGUUAUGUGCCACGAUGCUUCAAAUCCAUUUUCAUGAGUUUACGACAUCGGCUCGGCCCUCCAGGCGGAAACGAAGCCUAAACGUCCGUUUCUUUAAUAACUUCGCAACGGCUCGACGAAUCGCCGAACCGACUUCGCCAACGCGUUCGUUUACCUAGCAAUUAGGUUUACAUAGGGUCAAAAUAGAUCAAACCCAUCUAUUAGCAAAAAUUGCAUUUUGAACCCUAUGCUUCAUCUAUUGCAAGAAUUAAUUAAAUUGAUCCUAGAUGCUAGCAUUUAUCAUUUAUUUAGCAUGCUAGGAUCCCAAAUAAACCAUUUCUAUGGAUUAUAAAUGAAGCUUUAAAGAUCUACCAUGAGAGGGUUCAAAAAGCUCAUUUCAAGCCCUAGUUUACAACUAGACAAGAAAUCAUUAAAUCGAUCCGUGAUUUAAGCAACAAUCAUCUCUUUAGCAUGCUAGAUUAGCUCUAAAUCCAUUCUUGAAGCUUAAAACCCAAACUACAAAGAGAUACCAUUAAAGGGCAUCAAAGCUUACCUUGCAAGCAAGCUCCAAUGGAGAGAAAGAAGAUAAAAGAGAUGAAGAUCAACCUCCAAGCUUGCUUUUCCUCCAAUUUCAUCAAUUUUGGGAGAGAUUUAGAGAGAGAAAGGAGAGCUCUCUUCCUCCCUCUCCUUGCGUGUGUGUGGCGUGUGUGUGUGUGUGCAUUCGGCUGAGGAGAAGAAGAAGAAAAGGGAUUAAAUCCCUUUUUACAAAUCAGCCCCUCAACUUUUACACUAUUCACUCCCGGGCAGCUGUUUAGCAGUUCGGAACAGUUGGAGCCCUUCUAAAUGUCCAUUUGAGCUCAAAUUUGACAGGCAGGCUCAGUUUAAUGUACUGAGUAAGAAUAUAUCUUAAGUUUUCAUUUUCGACCCCAUUUGGUCACUGAAAACUGUGCCGAAUUGUAAUCUUUAUCAGAUAGCUGUCGGAUUUUAUUUCUCACUCUACGGGUGUCAGAAAAAUAUGAAACUUUAAAUCUAACCUCUAAAAAUAUUUCUGACUUAUCCUCCAAUUUUCAUAAUUUUCUGAUACUGUGCAUUUUCUGCUAAUUUAUCUGUCCCGUUUUCAACAAAAAAUUCUAGAUUUUCUGUUUUCAUUCUGAUUUCAGCAUAAGUCACUUUGACUUAUAUUUUACUUCUACAAAUCCAAUAAAAAUAGUUUAUCACACUAUUUUUAUUUAUUUUUAUUUUUAUAGCAAAAUCCGGUAUGUUACACUCGCAGUGUGCACCGUAUAGGUAAUGCCUCCACAACUUCAGCGCAAAGAUCACCGCCGCCAACUCCAAGUCAUGGAUGGGGUAAUUCUUCUCGUGGUCCUUCAGCUGACGGGAUACAUAAGCUAUCACUCUCCCGUCCUGCAUCAGGACACACCCCAAGCCCAGAUAGGAUGCAUCGCUAUAAACCACAAAGUCCUCGCCCUGCACCGGUAAGGCGAGUAUUGGAGCCGACGUCAAUCUUUUCUUCAACUCAUUGAAGCCUCGAUCACAUUCGUCGCUCCAAAUAAAUUUGACGCCCUUCUCAGUCAAACCGGUAAGCGGAGUUACAAUUUUUGAAAAGCCCUCCACAAACCGUCGAUAAUAGCCCGCUAAGCCUAUAAAGCUUCGGACCUCCGUGACGUUCGUCGGGCGUGGCCAAUUCUCGACCGCUUCGACUUUCCUCGGGUCAACCGAAACACCGCCCUCGAAAAUCACAUGCCCUAAGAAGGCAACCUCUCGAAGCCAGAAGUCACACUUCUUUAGCUUUGCGAAUAGCUUCUCCUCCCGAAGGAUUUGAAGCACCGUCCGCAAAUGCUCCGCGUGCUCCUCGUAGCUCCGCGAAUAGACCAAGAUGUCGUCUAUGAAGACCACGACAAAUCGGUCCAAGCACGCCUUGAACACACGGUUCAUCAGAUCCAUGAAUGCGGCCGGGGCAUUAGUGAGCCCGAAAGGCAUAACCGUGUACUCAUAGUGUCCAUAACGCGUGCGAAACGCGGUCUUCUGAAUAUCCUCCGGCUUGAUCUUUAACUGAUGGUAGCCGGAUUGUAGGUCUAUCUUCGAGUACACUCGUGACCCCUGCAAUUGAUCAAAUAAGUCGUCGAUUCGGGGUAACGGGUACUUGUUCUUUAUUGUGACCUUAUUCAACUCUCGAUAAUCCACGCAGAGUCGAAACGAGCCAUCCUUCUUGCGCACGAACAACACCGGCGCUCCCCACGGCGAUACGCUCGGCCGGAUGAACCCUUUGUCGAGAAGAUCUUGUAAUUGAUCCCUCAAUUCCCUUAACUCUGCCGGCGCCAUACAGUAUGGGGCUUUCGAGAUUGGCGCCGUCCCGGGAAUCAAGUCUAUAACGAACUCGAUCUCCCGAUCCGGCGGCAUCCCCGGUAACUCCGUGGGAAAUACAUCCGGAAAUUCCCGCACCACCGAUAAAUCUUCUAGUUUUGGUACCACCCGGUCCACCUCCACGACGGUCGCCAAAAAUGCCGCGCAACCGCCGCUGACCAACUUCCUAGCUCUCGUCGCCGAUACUGUCGCGACGAAGCAAGAACUCCGAUAAGCUCGAUAAACGAACUCCUUCUGUCCUGGCUCCCGAAAGGUGAUUGAUUUAUUCUUACAAUCAAUCGUGGCGUAAUACUUUGAGAGCCAGUCCAUGCCCAAAAUGACGUCAUACGCCUCUAGUUUAGUGAGUUCCAACAUCCGGAUGGGCAUUAUCCACUCACCUACUUGUACUGGGCAUGACGAGCACUCCGUAUAGGUAUUAAAUGAUGACUCGGGACCUCGACUCGCCACUUGCCACUUGCUUCUAUGGGUAUGUCAUGCAUGCGUGCAAAUGCUCUACUAAUAAAUGAGUGCGUGGCACCCGUAUCGAACAUAGCUCUGGAGCGAACUCCAUUGAUUAGAACCAUACCUGCCACAACAUCAGGCUCCUCGGCUUGGGCAGGCUCCUCGGCAUGGGCCUGAGCGGCGAAUACCCGUCCGCUCGGCGCUGAUCGAGUCACCUUCGGCUGGCGCGGCGCCAGAGCGCGUCCCGCUAAUACAGGAACAUACGGGGCCCCUCGUUGAUAAGGCGAGGGCACUGGAGUCGAUGCGACUGACGGAGUAGACGAGGCCCUUGCCGGACAGUCGCGGCUAACGUGUCCUUCUUGUCCACAAUUAAAGCACCGUCCUUGUCGUUGUCUACACUGCGGUGCCUGAUGACCUCGAUCUCCACAGAUAGGGCACCGUUGCGGCCCACGGCCCCACGACUGCGACCGCGGAUACUUGGGGGGCCUCCUCGAACUCGAUUGUCCCCCCGAACCGCCGCCCGAUCGCUUCCUCCCCUUGUCUUGGGAUCCAGUCAACGACUCAAGUUCUUCCCGCACGUGGGCAUCCCCAUGUUCCGCCCACAGCGCCUUGUUGAAAACCUCGGCGAAAGUUGUGAGCUGGAACAACUGCACCGCUCUAUAUAUCCAUGGCUGAAGUCCCCGCAAGAACCAUUCGGCCCAAUCCGCGUCGUCCUUAACCACGUCCGGGACGCAGUCUAUAAUGUGGGAGAAUUCCUGUUCGUAGUCUACCACCGAACGAUCCCCCUGUCUCAAUUUGCGAAACCUCUCCUUUAGCUUUCGCUUCUCGGUGUCGGGGAAAUAAUUCCCAAACAUCUCCUUCUUAAACUCCUCCCAGAGCAUUGGUGAAAGGUCAGAGAGUCGAUCCCGCUUCAACCGCUUCCACCACACCUUCGCCGCCUUUUCGAGGCAAUAGGUGGCGAGGGGCACCUUAUCCUUAGGUCCUCGAAGAGGGUCUCCAUAGAGUCAAUCCAAGACUCCACUGCCGACGGCUCCACCUUUUUCCCUUCAAAAGUUGGUGGUUUAAACUUCAUAAACUUCAUAAGAGCCACCAGCGCACAUUACCGCUCCACUUCGUCGGCCGUCGUGUCGAGGUGUCGCCGAACCCGAAGCUGUCGGAGGGCGCACUUGUCGGCGGGGGAACUGCCGCCAUCGGAACCGCCGCUAUGCCCUCACCCUCGGCCGCUACCGGCGUGCGUGCCGAAGGUGCGGGCGGAUCGCGAUCUCCUGCCGCCGUCGCGGCCGCCGCCGCUGCCGCUUGCCGCUCCACAACUUCCCUGGAGCUGCUCGAACCGAGCCUCCUGGCGCUGCAUCGCGCCCAACAUUGCAGCGACCUGCUCCCGCAGCUCCUGCACCUCCUCCGAUCUUGGCUGCUCGGGCUCCGCAGAAGGCGGUACCGGAGCAGACCUACGCACAUAACGCCUUGGGGACAUUUGCUCCUGAAAAGCAACAACUCGGUUAGUUAUCUUAAUCCGAUAACUUCCUCAAUGUUAACGAAAUUAAACGACUCGACAACGAAAUCGGGCGGAAGCUCACAAGUGUUCCAGUUCUGGACUCUUAGCGUCGCGUCGUCGGCCGCCGACACAACCACUAUGAGCCGAGAAACUAGUAUCACUUGAAUCCGUCUCUAUGCACGGCUAGAGACAUAGCACCAACUUCGACCCAAUCAAUCAACUUCCGCCAUCGCCAUGGGUUCACAGUCACUCACGUCCCUAUAACCUUAGGGUUUGCCAACCUAGGAUCUCCUAGGUCAUCCUAGACUCUCUCUUUACUUGCUCUGGUGCUCUGAUACCACUUUAUCUGUCACGCCCCGAGACCGCUACCAAUUUGGUCCGGCCCUGGGCGCGUCGAACAGACGCCGAACGGACAGGACCUCCCCUGUCCGUCCAAGGGUAACCAACAGAUCAUGUAUAAGAAUUUACCCAGGAAUCAAUUCAUAAAUACACGAUCAAGAAGCACCACCAGUGCAACAAUCAAGAGCAAGAUACAAGUAUAGAAACGAAUACAAGUACAUAAGAGAGGAGGUGCUAUCCAUUACAUUCAUUUGAUUUACUACAUUUAAGUACGUCUUUUACAUUCUUCCAAAAAUAUAAGUACAAGCACUCAAACCUCACCCUAUACAACAUUUACUCUCAAAUACAAAAAUGGUGACAGCUAAUGCAAAAGGGAGGUAGCUAAUGCGACUAGAGCGCCGGGCCCUUACCACGAUCCUCACGCUCACCGGGGACGCCCGAACUAGAACCUGGUAAGAGUGGGGUGAGAACUAACUUCCUUAGUUCCCAGUGGGUUCGGCCGCUGACUCCGCCGAUCUCCCCACUAGGUCCAAGCGGGCAAAAGUAGAUAAUCGAUAGAUAGAUAGAUAAGGGAAGCGGUAAAUGACAGAAGUAUAGCUACGCUACUAUGCCCAAUCAUAAUAUAUGAAUGCAUGUACAAUGAAAUAGAUAAACAACUAACCCAUUAUCAUGCCCAAAGGUAAAGCUAUUUACU
rnacentral:lncRNA from 1 species